rnacentral:rRNA from 1 species
CUACCAGGGUAUCUAAUCCUGUUUGCUCCCCACGCUUUCGCGUCUUAGCGUCAGAAACCGUCCAGAUAGCCGCCUUCGCCACUGGUGUUCUUCCCAAUCUCUACGUAUUUCACCACUACACUGGGAAUUCCACUAUCCUCUCCGGUCCUCUAGUCGCCCAGUAUCAAGUGCAUUUCUUGAGUUGAGCUCAAGGCUUUCACACCUGACUAUGGCAACCGCCUACACGCGCUUUACGCCCAGUAAUUCCGAACAACGCUAGCCCCCUUCGUCUUACCGCGGCUGCUGGCAC